ensembl:lincRNA
AACCAAUUUACCGGCACAUCAUAAGACUCAUUCUAGAGUCUCCAUAGACCUCAUCUGUGUGGGGAAAGAAGAGCUGUAUUCACUGAGAAACAGGCAACGCCUGACAUAGAAGAUAAGUGUGCUUUUUGCUGAGAAGCUUCCGGCCCUGGCCCCCGAUGGCGCCUUUCCUCAUCUGGACACCUUGGGAAUGAAUUAUGAGGAAGCCAGCUCCUAGAAAUCGAGGAGAAGGAGUGAGCCUGCAGGAAUUGUCAGCAAACAGCUAUUUCUGCUCUUGGCGGGGAGGAGAGAGUGGUGUCCAGAGACUGGGCUUCUCCAUCCAGCCUGAAUGGACCAUCUCUUCUCUUCGGAGAGCUCAUCAAAGACCUUCCCUGAACAGCCCAACCAUGCAGAUUUGGACUCGGGUUGCCUGGAGUCCUUCAACUACAAGGCUGAGCGGUGGGCUCUUGCUCCAUUUUCCUCUACAGAUGAGAGGAUCCUGGGGCAUCUCAGACUCAAGAUUCAGGAUGGGCAGGAAUGAAGUAGCCCCAAGGCCCAUAGCAGCAGAUAUUUUUGGACCUUCUCUCCAGGACACUGUGGCUACCACGAUUUACAGCCAGCAACCACAGACUACAGGCCCUCCAGAAUGCAUUUGAAAAGUACAGGGGAGAGGAUCUGCUUGCCGUGGCCUGGUUGGAGCGAGAGAGAGAAGUCCCCAGCCGAUGACUCCGAGGGAGGGGCCCUGGACAUGUGCUGCAGCGAGAGGCUGCCGGGUGAGUCUGCCGGGCACCCAGGGUCCCCAGAGUUCCCCGUGCACAGAGAGAGCCCCAGAUGCCGCCAGCCGAAGUCGAGCCCGCUUAACUAUGAACUUGCUCCGGAGGGGUGACUUGGCUGCUCACAAGGUCUCCAUUUAAAUGAGGAUUUGUUUUUCUAAUCCCUGGUGUCUUUCAUCAUCUUUCAUGACCUGUUGUCAUUUGAUGCUGCUCUGGGCUCCCACGGAGGGAAGAGCCGGCAGCUGGGGGCAUGCUGGGAGGAUAGAGAGAGGGUUGAGGAGCUGGGGAGUCCAGCGAUGCUGGGGCCCUGGCCACGAACAAGCAGUGUGUUGGGCAGACUUUAAGAGGUAAGGCAGGGGGGAAAAAAAAAAAGGAAGGAAGGCGAGGGGACAUGGACAACCCAAAUGUGACAGGAACCAAGGGUGGGUGGGCGAUGAGGAGAAAGCGCCUGGCCUGUUGAGAACCCUGUGAGGGUCUGAGGGGACUGCGUGAGGCUGAUUGGUUGCGCUCAUGGGGAGCCUGGCUGGCCGUGAGUCACCACAGAGAUGUUACCGCUCUGCCUCUGCCCCUGGGGUGGCAGUGUGUCCUAGCUGUAGACCAGGUACCCUGCUAGUAUUCAUUCUCUUUUCAUAAAACUUUUUUUCUUAUCACAGAUAUUCACUGCAGAAUGAUAGAUAUAAGACAAAUGAAAAAAAUUGCCGUGAUCCCGUGACACAAUAUUCCUUUCCCUCUUUCCUUCCAAUCCUUUUGGUUCAGAAACAGCCCUGUGAAUGCGGCCUUUAAAGUCCCAAGGUUAGCUUGUCAGAAACCUCAUGACUGGCAAGGAAGCUUCGAGUGACGUUUUCAGGGACACUCUUUGAGACAGACAUUGAAAACAAGUAGGUGUGACUCUAAAGCGAUGACUCUUUAAAAUAAAUGGUUAUGUGGCUUGCACCAUGAGCCAGUGCUCCAGCUGCUGAUGAAGCUUUCUCCCGCCUCCAGGUAGGGAUGGAGCCCUUUGGUGCAGUUCACGCCAUAUCCAGUAGGGGGUACCAUUGCUCAAAAACGCUUUGGAAGGCCUAUCUAGCUGGUCUAGGAUGGGUGUCAUCUUUUAGGUCCCUGGUGGGGACGGGAAAGAGCUAGCUUCAAGAACAGAAUUCUCCAAAGGGAUGUGAGAGCUGUCUGUGAAUACAUGAAAGACUGUCCUGUGGAGAGGGCAGCAGAUUUGUUCUGUGUCUCUUAAGAGUCUGGCAUAAACCUGAUACAUAGAAAUUAAAAAGAGGACUGUUGGCGCGAGGGAUCCAGAACUUUCUUUCUUUUUUUUAAGAUUUUAUUUGUUUGUUUAUGUAUUUCCCUUUGGUUGGCUUGGACGCAACCACUUAUUUUGACAUAGAGAAAGGGAGCAUGAACGGGGUGUGGGAAGCAGACUCCCACUUAGCAGGGAGCCUGACAAACGCAGGGGCUCCACCCCAGGACCCUGGGAUCAUGCCCUGAGCCAAAGGCAGAUGCUUAACUGACUGAGCCACCCAGGAGCCCCCGAAAUUUUCUUUCUGAAUCUGAAAGUGGUCCAGUCAUGGUACUGGAUAAUUCAAAAGGAAAAAAAUGAGUGUUCCAUCACUGGAGGCAUUCAAAUAUUAUCUGGAUAGACAGUAGAGAGGAAAUUUCCACAAUGGGUAGGAGGUCGAAAUGACAUCAAAAGUCCCUUUCAACUAUUAAACGUUCCGUGAUUCAGAUAUGAGUCAUAGAAUUCAGAGAUGAUUCUAUGACCGGGGAUGGCCCAGUGGCUAGAAAAAACCCACGGGAAAUAGGACAUGAUGUAUAGGAGUGCGGGGAGUAGCACAGUGUGAAGGAAAGAGCACUGGCUUUGGCAUCGGAGUCUGGCUUAGAGGCACUGUGUUUAUGGACAGGUCGCUUACCCCUGCUGGGCCUCUAAUCCUUAUCUGUAAACUGAAACAGCAAUAUGAGUAUUUAUCCUUACAAGGAUUGGAUAUAAUUACACAGACAUUCAUUCCACAAACACUUUUUGAGUCCCUACUAUGUGUUCGGUAUUAUACUAGGUGCUAGGAAUCUAGUGGUAAAUAAAACAGAUGUCCUGCCCUGCUUUGAGCUGCUUCUGAAAAAAUGCAUGGAACCACAAGGAGAGAGACUACGGUAAUAAUAUAUGAAAUCUCAACCCUCCCUGAAAACCAGCAACCAGCUUAGAAUGGAAGAGGAAUAUUGGUUAUCUCCAGUGGGGCGCGGACACGUUGCCUUCGUUGUGCUUGGCACUGUUCUAAAUACUCACAUGUACCUCUCACAGACUCCUGUUGAGACGAUUUCUGGUCCCCAUCUUCUAAAUGAGAGGACUGAGGCCCAGGGAAGUGAGGGAGUCUGUCCAAGGUCACUUCACUGGUGUUUGGAUGAGUGAGGACUCCGUUCGUGCCCCCAUUGUCGCCGAGGAGCCACUAUCAGUUUCUGGCACUGUGUGAACAGAGGCAAGAGCUGUCUGCCCCAGGGAGGGGUCUGGAGGAGAUGGGCAAUGUCACCCUGCCUGUCUCCUUCUGUGUCCUUCCUCCGGAAAGCCCUGCUUGCCAGAGGUUAGGCAAGUUAGACACCCCACUGUACUCCCACGCAUGAUGCCAUCGCAGUGUGAUCUCGUAAUCACAUUUUGUCUGUUUCGUCUGCGGGACCGCGCCUUCUUUAAAGGCGAGUGCCUAUUUUGUCCUGCAUGUCCAGGGGAGUCUUUCACUCAUUUCUUUAUUCCCUGGAUGACUGUUCAUGGAGGGAAUCCCCUCACAGGACGCUCAUGCAAGCACUGAAGAUUCAGCAGUGAGCCGAACUGAGAAAAUGUCCACCUUCCCAGGGCAGUGUGGUGCACU